rnacentral:sRNA from 1 species
UUGGUCAAGCACUCAGAAGAAGUCAUUAUGCCCAAUGGUAUAGUUGUGAAAGUCUAUUUUCUCAACAAAGAGAAACCUGAUGCGAUGUGCUAGGUCUGCUCCCUUUUUUUAAUCUUCAACCUUCCAAGAUUCAAAACAAAACCUAGUAAACUUUAAAAGUCUGAAAAUCAUGGAGAUAAGCAAGCUAUGUUGAUAGCAGCACAUGACAUUCUGACAUUCAAUUACAAUCUGAAGAGCAGUUGAGCUGCAUAUUUACUGAAGUUAAUCUCUUGAGAGAACAGUGGCUCAUUCUCUUUUUGUGCAUAGCCCUAUAUCAUUCAUUUCAAAUGUAAUGGCAAAUAUUAACAACUUGUGAUCUUUGUGUAUAUAGGUCUAUCAGCUAUAAGACCAUAAACUUUAACACAUCUGCUGUAUGAUCUUUUUUUAUCUCUCAAGUUUUUCUCAUGAUGACUGAAAAAAAAGGAGCUUUUUGUUCAAAUGUUUUGUCCACCAAUGACUUUCAAGGCUAUAUUUCAGAAUUCUACUGACAUUUCAAUAGUAGCAAUGCCUCACAGUUCAUGUAAAAAAUAAAACAAAAAAUUAUCAAAAUAAAAUCCCCUCCCCCCUUUCUCACUAGCUCAUAGAUAGACUGACAAUUUGGUGCUAUGCAUGUUUUUUUUUGUUUUUUUUUGGUUGUAUAUUUUUAAGCUUGUAUGUAAAUGACUUUUGUUUAUUCUUUUUUCCCUUUUCAAUGGAAUAAGAAUCUAUGAAAGUUGUGUAGACAUAGCCAUUAACAUGAAAGUGUUGCUUAAUGACUCUAAUGAGGUGAAGAUAGUGAAUGGUUAAAAUAAAUUAUAUUUAGGGUGCUUCUGAAAUGGUUGUACAUUCUCUGCUGCACUGAUAAUGUUAGAUUUUGCAUUAUACAUUGUAAAUGCAAUAGUAUUUUAUUAUAUCUCUAAGAAGGUGCUGCACAACCAAUGUCUUCUGGCCCAUGUAUGAUCAAUGAAGAUGCCAUCCAGCUUCUUGUCCAUAUUGCAUAACAGAGCUAUUGUGUCUGGUUCCAUUUGACCUAAUAAUUUCUCUCCAUGAUACAGCAUGUGACAAGCAUUUCAUUUGUCCCUAGGUCAAAAAAAAAUAAAAUAAUAAUAAUAAAAGCUAUUCCUGCUUUAGUAUAUCAGAUCUGUAAUUACAAAUGUCAAAAAUAUUGUUUAGUAAAUCAUAUUUAUUUUU